UACGUAGGAUCCAAGCGUUGUCCGGAUUUACUGGGUGUAAAGGGUGCGCAGGCGGGCUGGUAAGUCAGGAGUGAAAUCUCGGCGCUUAACGCCGAAACUGCUUUUGAUACUAUCGGUCUUGGAUAAGCGAGAGGUUCGUGGAAUUCCGAGUGUAGCAGUGAAAUGUGUAGAUAUUCGGAAGAACACCAGUGGCGAAGGCAGCGAACUGGCGCUUUAUCGACGCUCAGGCACGAAAGCAUGGGGAUCAAACAGG
rnacentral:rRNA from 1 species